UACGUAGGGUGCGAGCGUUAAUCGGAAUUACUGGGCGUAAAGCGUGCGCAGGCGGUUUUGUAAGUCGGAUGUGAAAUCCCCGGGCUCAACCUGGGAAUUGCAUUCGAGACUGCAAGGCUUGGGUGCGGAAGAGGGAAGCGGAAUUUCCGGUGUAGCGGUGAAAUGCGUAGAUAUCGGAAGGAACAUCAGUGGCGAAAGCGGCUUCCUGGUCCAGCACCGACGUUCAGGCACGAAAGCGUGGGGAGCAAACAGG
rnacentral:rRNA from 1 species